rnacentral:lncRNA from 1 species
GUCACAUGUUGUCAAACAUGGCUACCUACACCACCAUCAUAGAAGAGAUGGAAGUGAGUUCUUCUGCAGCACCCCAGAGCCGGCCUGCAGUCAGGAAGGCCUCCCCAGAGGCAUCCACGAAGCUGCCUGCCAACCUGGGUGCCCCAGGCAUGGGCCCCUCUAAGCCUGCCCUAGGAGGAGAACAGUUUGUGUGACACAGGGGGCGGAGGCUGGGUCUGAAUCUUUUUUUUUUUUUUUUUGAAACAGAGUUCGCUGUGUCGCCCAGGCUGGAGUGCAGUGGUGCAAUCUCACCUCACUGCAACCUCCGCCUCCCGAGUUCAAGCGAUUCUCCUGCCUUAGCCUCUCUAGUAGCUGGGAUUGCAGGUGUGCACCAUCACGCCUGGCUAAUUUUUGUAUUUUUUAGCAGAGACGGGGUUUCUCCAUAUUGGGCAGGCUGGUCUGAACUCCUGACCUCAGGUGAUUCGCCCACCUCAGCCUCUCAAAAUGCUGGGAUUACAAGCGUGAGCCACCGCGCCCAGCUGGGUCUGAAUCUUUAACAGUUCCCCUCCGCUCCUGGAGCCCCUCCCACAGCCAGCCCUUGCUCACCAGCGGGGGAACCAACAGCCCCUUCCUCACCCUCCUGGGGGUUGGGGUCUCUCUCCACAAUACCAGUGCCGGGACGCAUCCCUCGUCUUCUCUGCUCCUUUCCGUUGUCCGGAGGCCUAGGCCCAGUCAUCCAGCCAGCCUCCACCCAGCUCCUCUCCCUGCACACAAAGACUGACCCCAUCAAGCUGCACUUCCUGAAACACACCCACAAACCAGAAACUCAGCCUCCCCUUUGCCCGCAGGAUGCCCAUGGGCAAAACUGUCACCAAGAGAAGAGAGGAGGGGCCCAAACCGGCUCUGUCUCUGUGGAGAAAGAGCCUGCCUAGGGCUGGACCCUGGUUGUGUGGCUUCAGGUACUGUAAAAGGGAUUGAGUUCAAACUCCUGACCUCAGGUGAUCCAUCCGCCCCAGCCUCCCAAAGUGCUGGGAUUACAGGCGUGGACCAACCUGGUGAAACUCCAUCUCUACUAAAAAUACAAAAAUUAGCCAGGCAUGGUGGCGGGUGCCUGUAAUCCGAGCUACUCAGGAGGCAGAGGCAGGAGAACUGCUGAACCUGGGAGGCAGAGGUUGCAGUGAGCCGAGAUCGCGCCAUUGCACUCCAGCCUGGGCAACAAGAGCGAGACUCCAUCUCAAAGGGCAGGACCCAAUCUCGGAGGAGCUGCAAAUCUCGGCAUGCUCGACAAAUUCCAGCAGGGCAUGAAUCAUGGGCUCCUGCCUCGUGAGGGCCCUCCUCUGCCAGUGGGGCUGGUGGAGCUCUGGGGCUCGCCUGCUGCCCAGCUUGGAGGCAGAGCCGGGCCUGACGGAGUCCUCCCUGCACAUUCCAGAGGAGCUCAAGCCAGCUUUCCCCCCGGGAUCUCACCUGACACUGCAAGGCAGAGUGCCCCACGAAGAGAGGGUUUCCUUCGCUUGCCUUUUUGCCCUGGCAAGACUGGCAACCAGGAGUCCGUGAGCACCGGUGCCUCCUCAGGGGUGGCACCUCUUUCUGGGAAGCCACACGGGUCUCAGACAGCUGUGCCCUUCCUGCUGCCCUCCAGCUGCCAGAAGGCCAUAGUUCCCAUGUGCCCUGGAAUGUGGGACUCUCUUUGAGACGUCCACUUGGGGACCUGUCCUCAGGCCCUGGGGUCAGCACACAGGUGGGCAGUUUCUUUGGGCUCAGGGUCAGGCUCCUACUGGUGGGUGAAGGCAGCCCUUUGUCUCAUGUCUUGCCCCAGCGUUCCUGAGUAGCAGGCUCCCUCCCCCAUCCUCUUGGCAGCUGUCCCUCCCUGCUCCCUCCCGGUGACCACAGCCAAGCCAAGAGGCCUGUGCUCUGUUCCCCACACGUCCAUGUAGAGUGGCUGGACACCGGUGUUGAUUGCUGUGGAGGUGGCUGGAGGGAGUGGACAUUCCAUUGUAAUGAUGGCAAAAAUAGCCAUGAUCUUUCAGCCACUGCUGAAACUGCUGGAGUCAGGCCCUUCCCAGGUAUGAUUUGCCCUCCCUGAUGGUGCAUUUGUCUCCCAGAUGUGCAGAUGUGGAAGCCGAUGUCCUGGGGAUCAGGGGAACCUCAUGAGGGAGGAGGCAGGGGGCCAGGACUGGCUCCUGAGCUCUGCAACCCCAGUGUUGCCGUCUGUCUUUUAAUCUUUAAAAAGAAGAUACAAUGAUAUAAUUAGGAUGCGGCAAUCUCAGCACUGGGAGGCCAAGGCGGGGCGGAUCACUUGAGGUCAGGAGUUUGCGACCAGCCUGGCCAACAUGGUGAAAUCCCAUCUCUACUAAAAAUGCAAAAAAAUUAGCCGGGAGUGAUCUCAGCUACUCAGGAGGCUGAGGCAGGAGGAUCGCUUGAACCGGGGAGGCGGAGGUUGCAGUGAGCCGAGAUCGCACCACUGCACUCCAGCCUGGGCAACAGGGCAAGAUUGUGUCUCAAAAAAAACAACAAAAACAAAACCAAUAAUAAUAAUUAGAAUGCUGACACUGUCUCUAGCUUUUCUGGGUCUCUCCCAUUCCUGUAGAAUCGUUCUUGCCCACAAUCACCUGCCCAUCUCUCUUGCACCCCAGAAAAGUUUUGCAAGUUCAGGAAGAGAAAAAAAUAAUCUGACAUGUACUGUCUGUAUUCUCCCAUGACAAUAAUCUCUCUGUGGGGGGAGGGGUGUCCAUGUCUACCACGGUAUUGAAUGAAUAUUGAAUGAAUGGCUGAAUGUGCAUGAAGGAAAGGAGACAGUGGGUGGUUCAAGUGUGGUUGUUCUUGCUUCCCCAUUCCAAUCAGGACAUAAGCGGGGGGCCAGGGAGGACAAGGCCAGGCUGGCAGAGUGUCAUCAACUCACGGCUGCUGCGGUGGGUGGCCCUCCUGUCCAGCAACAGCAUCAGGGGGUGGGUGAGCGUGUUAGGAGGGGACAGAAAAGUAGGGGCCACUGGCUUCCCCCACCCCCAAUCUGCCAAUCCUACCUCAGAACAGUUUUUUUCUUUUUUUGAGACGGAGUCUCGCUCUGUCACCCAGGCUGGAGUGCAGUGGCUUGAUCUCAGCUCACUGCAAUCUCUGCCUCCCCGGUUCAAGCAAUUCUCUUGCCUCAGGUUCCUGAGUAGCUGGGACUACACGUGCGCACCACCACGCCCAGCUAAUUUUUGUGUUUUUAGUAGACAUGGGGUUUCACCAUGUUGGCCAGGUUGGUCUCGAACUCCUGACCUCAGGUGAUCCACCUACCUUGGCCUCCCAAAGUGCUGGGAUUACGGUCAUGAGCCACCGUGCCUGGCCCUCAGGGCAACUUUAGUGCUCCUCCCUAUACCCAGCAGGGGCAGAGGAAAGUCCCCAGGGAAAGUCCUCUUUGAGCCGUUGAUGACAGCAUGGUUAGUAGUAGUUACAAUGCCAAAAUAUAAAAAGAAUAAUUUUAAAAAAGAUUUUGUGUGCAAUUUUGCAGAGGGAAUGUCUUGCCCUUUUUUCUCCACUCAAAAGGAAGGGAGGGUAUUCAAAAGAGUCCAAAAGUGGAAACAGCCCAAAUCCCCACUGGCUGAUGAGUAGAUAAACAAACUGUAGUGUAUCCACAGCGUGACACGUUACUCAGCCUUCAAAAGGAAGGAAGCACCAAUUUAUGCCCCAAUGUGCAGGAACAGUGAAAUGUGAUGCUGAGAAAGCAGCCAGGCCCAAGAGGCCACACAGUGUGUGACUCCACUGACACAAACCACCCAGGACAGG